rnacentral:lncRNA from 1 species
GCCCCGGUGGCGGCGGCCCCCCCAGCCAGCCCCGCCGGCGCCUCCUCCGACCGCCGCGGGCCCCCGGGCCUGGGCCACAGCUCCGGGGCAGCCCCGAACCCGCCAGAGGCGCAGAAACCAGGAGGGAUGCGGCCUGGGAGCUGACACUCGGGCCCGGUCCAUUCAAUCAUUCUCUAUCCACGUGUCCCCUUGGCAGAGUCUCAGCCCUCUCUGCCCGUCCUUUGCUAGGUGCUGAGGACACGCACAACGGCGAGCAAGCGGAGCCCGGCCCUGUUCCCGCUGCCCUGCAGCCCAGUGGAUGGAGCCCACCGUCCGCAGACCUGCCAGGAAAGAAAACAAAAUUCCUGAGGGUUGUUCCAAGCAGGGAAUCCCCGGUGGAUUGAGGAAUGCGUGGCUUUUCUUCAGCUCACUGAUCUCUGUGGUAGCUACUGGCACCCAAAAAACGCCCAAGAAUGAAAGGCCUGUGAUUCGCAAGUUGCUGCUAGAGAUAUUUUAGCCUCUCCAGAUAGCAAUGCAGCUGCCACACAAGCUUGUAAGGUAAAUAACAGGGCCUGCUAAAGCUUAAUGGUACAAAGCUGAUGUUUAAAGUUCUCCUCCAUUUAAAUUUUUUUUUUUAAGUUCACAUUUUGAAAAUGUAUCCUUUCGGAAAGACAGGUGAAGUACUAAUAUCUAGGGAAGUUGCUUGAUUUGUGCUUCUAUCAGUAUCUUAUAUUUAGGUAGGCAACUCAGAGGAAGAAAGCAUCUAAAAAAAGUGUGUUGGGUGUAAGAAAUUCAGAGAGAGAGAGAGAGAGAGAAAGAAAUUCAGAGAGCCUGCCAUCAAACAUAGUUAGCUACUCCACAAACGUAAUAUUUUAACCAAUUUUGUUGACGCAUAAUCUACAAAUGCACCCUUAAUUUUCGAGGUACAAUUCGAUACAUUUUUGACAGUGUGUAUACCCAGGUAAUCAACAAUCAAAAUACACAAUAAACAAACAAACAAACAAAAUGUACA